rnacentral:rRNA from 1 species
CGAACGGGUGAGUAAUGCGUGACCAACCUGCCCCAUGCUCCAGAAUAGCUCUUGGAAACGGGUGGUAAUGCUGGAUGCUCCAACUUGACGCAUGUNUUGUUGGGAAAGUGUUUAGUGGCAUGGGAUGGGGUCGCGUCCUAUCAGCUUGUAGGCGGGGUAAUGGCCCACCUAGGCUUCGACGGGUAGCCGGCCUGAGAGGGCGGACGGCCACAUUGGGACUGAGAUACGGCCCAGACUCCUACGGGAGGCAGCAGUG